UACGGAGGAUGCAAGCGUUAUCCGGAAUGACUGGGCGUAAAGCGUCCGCAGGUGGCUGUGUAAGUCUGCUGUCAAAGAGCAAAGCUCAACUUUGUAAAGGCAGUGGAAACUACACGGCUAGAGUGCGUUCGGGGCAGAGGGAAUUCCUGGUGUAGCGGUGAAAUGCGUAGAGAUCAGGAAGAACACCGGUGGCGAAGGCGCUCUGCUAGGCCGCAACUGACACUGAGGGACGAAAGCUAGGGGAGCGAAUGGG
rnacentral:rRNA from 1 species